rnacentral:rRNA from 1 species
UACGGAAGGCAGCAGUGGGGAAUAUUGCACAAUGGGCGCAAGCCUGAUGCAGCAACGCCGCGUGAGGGAUGACGGCCUUCGGGUUGUAAACCUCUUUUAGUAGGGAAGAAGCGAGAGUGACGGUACCUGCAGAAAAAGCACCGGCUAACUACGUGCCAGCAGCCGCGGUAAUACGUAGGGUGCAAGCGUUGUCCGGAAUUAUUGGGCGUAAAGAGCUCGUAGGCGGUUUGUCGCGUCUGCUGUGAAAACCCGAGGCUCAACCUCGGGCCUGCAGUGGGUACGGGCAGACUAGAGUGCAGUAGGGGAGAUUGGAAUUCCUGGUGUAGCGGUGGAAUGCGCAGAUAUCAGGAGGAACACCAAUGGCGAAAGGCAGAUCUCUGGGCUGGUAACUGACGCUGAGGAGCGAAAGCAUGGGGAGCGGAACAGGGAUUAGAUACC